GACGAACGCUGGCGGCGUGCUUAACACAUGCAAGUCGAACGGAAAGGCCCUGCUUUUGUGGGGUGCUCGAGUGGCGAACGGGUGAGUAACACGUGAGUAACCUGCCCUUGACUUUGGGAUAACUUCAGGAAACGGGGGCUAAUACCGGAUAGGAGCUCCUGCUGCAUGGGGGGGGUUGGAAAGUUUCGGCGGUUGGGGAUGGACUCGCGGCUUAUCAGCUUGUUGGUGGGGUAGUGGCUUACCAAGGCUUUGACGGGUAGCCGGCCUGAGAGGGUGACCGGCCACAUUGGGACUUAGAUACGGCCCAGACUCCUACGGGAGGCAGCAGUGGGGAAUAUUGCACCAUGGGCGGAAGCCUGAUGCAGCAACGCCGCGUGCGGGAUGACGGCCUUCGGGUUGUAAACCGCUUUCGCCUGUGACGAAGCGUGAGUGACGGUAAUGGGUAAAGAAGCACCGGCUAACUACGUG
rnacentral:rRNA from 1 species